GCCUGGGUGGCUCAGUGGUUGAGCAUCUGCCUUCAGCUCAGGUCGUGACCCCAGGGUCCUGGGAUCGAGUCCCACAUCGGGCU
rfam:Canis lupus familiaris chromosome X, whole genome shotgun sequence.